rnacentral:lncRNA from 7 species
AGCCGUGCCCUGGCCUCCUUAGGACUUGGACCAUUCUGACCCUCAGCAUCCCCAUGGACAAUGAUGCAAAACAAUAAACCCUUACAAGCCCUGAAGAGCUCUGUGAAUAAAUACCAUGAUUCUCUGCAGAUCUGGUUGAAGACUCAACCUUUAUUUUCCAUAUAGGCAUAUCUCCUUCUCAAGUGAAAGAUGAAGAAUGUAUUGACAGUUCCUGGAGUGACUUUAAAAAAAGUGCUGUGAAACUAUGCAGUGAACCCUAAUGGAGAAAGUGAGUGAGAAAAAAGAUAUUUUUACCAAGAAUCCAGCUACAUUUUUCUUCUUAAAGGUCAAUCAAUGACAGCAUGAACUUUUUCAAUACUGAGAAGCAGCAAUAAAUUGCUUUCAUCAUACAUGGUGGAUCAGGUACACUGUUGGAUGAGUUUUAAUUUCAAAAAUAAUAAUAAGUGACCUUCUUUAUAAAACCACUAUUGUUUAUUUUGACAGAAAUAUAGAUUAUAUGACAAUUUUCUUAAAUUUCCACAAUACUGAUAUUUCUUGUCAAACUGUCAAUCAAAAAGUAGUUAUAUUAAAAUUCUUUCUUCUUCCCAAGUCUUCAGAUACAAAAGUUCAAAAGUUGUCCACAGUGAGGGUGAGAUCUAUAAUGUCUAAGCUGUUCCAUGUAUUAUAAAUCAAUUUUUAAUCAAGAUAGGUAAACAUUUGAAGAGAAGAUCCAAACCAACUUAUGUUAUUUGCACACUUAGCCAAAUCCUAAAGUGAUUACAAACCUAUAGGUGUUUGACUGAGGAAAGGUCUAGUGAAAACUGACCAAGAAGUUAAUAAUAUUAUUCAUAUUGACUUUUUAUCAUUGUUCUGGAAUAUCUUGAAGUACAACAGCUGAAAUUUCUUCACAAAUCAGCGGAUGUAGUGGCAGAGGUUAAGAUAAGUUUUGUCUUGAUGUUAAGUAUAAUGAAAAUCUAGAGGAGAAGGAAAGAGAGACAAAGACUAUACAAAUACAUUUCAGCUAUUGAGACCACUGUAAAUCUAAUGUUACCUUACAGACUCUGGGAACAUCCAAAUUCACAGCAAUCACUGUCCUAGGAGGUAGUGUCUUCAAAACAGACAAUUUACUCAGGCAAAUUAAUUAUUUUUAAUUAUAGACAUUAAUUACACUUCCAUUUUACUUAGAUCUCUCCUUAAAAUAAAAUUUAAAAUACUUAAUUCUAUUAAUUUCAUCAUCCUUGUUGUUAAAGUAACAACAACAGUGGUAACAUACAGUUAUCAUAUAUGCCCAUCUAGACGUUUUGAUACUUAUGCUAGUUCAGCCUUGCUUCUGGAACUCAUUAGUUUCUAAAAAGACAACGAUGAUAUUCCAACCUACAACACUAGAAUAUGGUAAAAGAGAUUUAAAGGUGGCACAGUGAAUUUCAAAAAACAGUAUUGUCUGAGAAACUUGAAAAUUAAAUUUUACUGACUAACAACAGAAGAACCUUUACUAAAGUAGCCAAAUAAUAGUAGAACAAGCCACUUUCUCAGGACAAUAUUCUAACUAAUUAUCCUGCCAUUUACAGUUAGAAGAAUUAAUAUGGCAACUUCAUGGUUUGUGCUCUAUGUCUGUUCUACAUAAUGGCAGCCAGUAAAUUGCCUUGUCAAUUACAAUUAAGAUGUUAACGCAAUGAUUUAAGGUCACAAAUGAUUUAGCAGAGUGGACUAAGGUAGACAUAUGUGGUUACAAGGUUACUUAAAUAAUGUCUAGACAAAGGUUAUUUAAAUUUUUAGCUGUUGGUUAAUUCAGUUUGUGAGCAACAAGUUGUCUUGAUUAAGUAAGCUCUAGAAUAUAUAAGUGAAAAGAGAUAAAGAAAGCAUGUCACAUUGCUCCCCUCUUCCUACUCCAGCAAUAGAAACAGUUUGAAGUCCCAGCAGAGGCAGCCAUACCAGUACGUUAGCAUAUGUAUCUUCUAUUAUGACAUUGUGUGAAAGAAAGUGGGAGCAGAAGCAUUCCUGUUACCUAUUUAUGUAAAAUUCCUGUUUAAAUUUCACAGAGCUUUCUUCCCUCACAGAGCUUUCUUUUCUUCCUCUACCCUAUUCACUUAAACACAGCAGCAGUAGCUGCUUGCCUCUUGAUAAUGAAAGUUUAGUUUAUUGUU